CGCCUGCGGGGAAGACAGCCCUCAAGACCCGCCCCAAAGGGCAGUUCCCACGAGUUGGCUUCUGGGCGGUCCUUCACCAGGUGACUUCUCACUUUUCAAGCCCUACUGCUGUGAGUCCUGUUCCUGUGCCGGCGUCCGUACCUCUGAGGGUCUGCCGCUCACCUGGAGAGCUGGUAAGAAGCCCAACAGGUCGCCCUCCCUGUGGCUGCGAGAGCCUCCGCCCCGCGCAGCCUGGGUACACAGCCUCUCCUGUAUGCUGCAGAGGACGGUGGCAGCGCCAUGGAGGACCCUGGGAGCUCAGCGCAGGAUCCUGGGAGUGCCACGCAGCUGCUAGGGGGCGCCUGCUGAGAGGACUUCUGCUGGGAGCUGCAGCUGGGUGUCAUCCUCCAGGAAAAGUGACAUUGCCCUAGCCAGGUGAAGAUCCUUGAAGACCAUGAACAAGAAAAGAAUCUCUGUGAUUGGGUGGAGCCUGUUGGCUCUGUUUUGUCAAUGGCUGCCUGGAUGAAGUCUUGGAAAACCUGUUUGCUUUGAAAGGACUGAUGACAUUGGAGAGCUCUGGAGGUAUCAGAAGAUAGAAAUAAUCUGGAGAGGAAGGAAGGAUGAGAAACAAAAUCACAUACAUUAGAAUGCACAUAAGGAUUAGAAAAUGUAGAGUGGUUCCUUCUGAUAUCUCUUAAAGGUAAGUG